GGUAUUCCUUAUUUAUUUCUAAUGGUUUAUUUGGAGUCCAUCUUCUAAUGCUUUAACACAAGGGUAAAGCACACGCCCUGGUGAAGAACAGAAAGAUAGGCCCAUCAGUUUAGUUGCCGCUAAUAAUUCUCAA
rnacentral:sRNA from 13 species